GCCCACAUGGCUCAGUGGUUGAGCAUCAACCUAUGAACCAGGAGGUCACGGUUCGAUUCCCAGUCUGGGCA
rnacentral:tRNA from 1 species